rnacentral:lncRNA from 1 species
GAGCUCAAUGCAUUCUAAUCACUUAUGUUAUUAUAGAAAUAAAGCCUUUAUUAUCAAGUAUAUUGGUCAUAUUCCUAAACAUGUGACAUGAUAAUGUUGGUUAAAGCAGCACAGGACUCUUCAUCUCUUGGAUUUUGUCCUGUUAAGAAAUGUUUUGUUGAAUUUCCUUGGCAACUAUACAUAUGCAUAUUUAUUAAAAUACUGAUAAUUCUCUGUUUUGAAGUCUCUU